AACGCUAGCUACAGGCUUAACACAUGCAAGUCGAGGGGCAGCAUUAUCGAAGCUUGCUUUGAUAGAUGGCGACCGGCGCACGGGUGAGUAACGCGUAUCCAACCUUCCCCAUAGUCAGGAAUAGCCCGGCGAAAGUCGAAUUAAUGCCUGAUGUUUUCCACGGACGGCAUCUGAUGUGGAACAAAGAUUCACCGCUAUGGGAUGGGGAUGCGUCUGAUUAGCUUGUUGGCGGGGUAACGGCCCACCAAGGCAACGAUCAGUAGGGGUUCUGAGAGGAAGGUCCCCCACAUUGGAACUGAGACACGGUCCAAACUCCUACGGGAGGCAGCAGUGAGGAAUAUUGGUCAAUGGGCGGAAGCCUGAACCAGCCAAGUAGCGUGAGGGAUGACUGCCCUAUGGGUUGUAAACCUCUUUUAUAAGGGAAUAAAAUACGGGACGUGUCCUGUUUUGCAUGUACCUUAUGAAUAAGGACCGGCUAAUUCCGUGCCAGCAGCCGCGGUAAUACGGAAGGUCCGGGCGUUAUCCGGAUUUAUUGGGUUUAAAGGGAGCGCAGGCGGUCUUAUAAGCGUGACGUGAAAUGCAGCGGCUCAACCGUAUGAUGUGCGUCGCGAACUGUGAGACUUGAGUGUAUUCGAUGUCAGCGGAAUUUGUGGUGUAGCGGUGAAAUGCUUAGAUAUCACGAAGAACUCCGAUUG
rnacentral:rRNA from 1 species